rnacentral:rRNA from 1 species
AGUGGCGGACGGGUGAGUAACGCGUGAGAAUCUGCCUUGGGGUCGGGGACAACCACUGGAAACGGUGGCUAAUACCGGAUAAGCCGAUUGGUGAAAGAUUUAUUGCCCGAAGAGGAGCUCGCGUCUGAUUAGCUAGUUGGUGAGGUAAGAGCUCACCAAGGCAGCGAUCAGUAGCUGGUCUGAGAGGACGAUCAGCCACACUGGGACUGAGACACGGCCCAGACUCCUACGGGAGGCAGCAGUGGGGAAUUUUCCGCAAUGGGCGAAAGCCUGACGGAGCAAGACCGCGUGAGGGAGGAAGGCUCUUGGGUUGUAAACCUCUUUUCUCAGGGAAGAAGCUCUGACGGUACCUGAGGAAUCAGCCUCGGCUAACUCCGUGCCAGCAGCCGCGGUAAUACGGAGGAGGCAAGCGUUAUCCGGAAUUAUUGGGCGUAAAGCGUCCGCAGGUGGCGAUUCAAGUCUGCUGUCAAAGCACGGGGCUUAACUCCGUAAAGGCAGUGGAAACUGAAUAGCUAGAGUGCCGUAGGGGUAGAGGGAAUUCCCGGUGUAGCGGUGAAAUGCGUAGAGACCGGGAAGAACAUCGGUGGCGAAAGCGCUCUACUGGACGGCAACUGACACUCAGGGACGAAAGCUAGGGGAGCGAAUGGGAUUAGAUACCCC